UUAAAGAUGAACAUUGCACUACAUGCAUGGAACCAGGUGGCAAAUUUUUGUUUCAUUUUAAACCAAAAAAAUCAACUGAAGAAGAAAAACAUGCCGAAAUAGUAGCCAACCAUUUAGUUGAAUGGAUGAUUCAAUAUGGUGUUGACAAAUCAAUACAAGCAUUGGGCGGUGAUUCAACAAAUGUGAAUACUGGAUGGGAAGGAGGUGUCAUACAGUUUGUAGAAUUAAAAUUUAAUAAAAGGUUGAACUGGCUAAUAUGCGCUCUUCAUACUAAUGAACUACCACUCAGACAUCUAAUAGUUGAAUUUGACAGAAAAACACUUUCAAACAAUAAAUGGUCUGGUGAAUUAGGAAAACUGCUGGAUACGGUAACAGAUCUAGAUGCAAACAAAAACUUUGAAAAAAUUACUUUAGGUGAACCACUUAUUGUUUUGCCAGGCAAAAUACUUAAGGACCUUUCGACUGAUCAGGCUUACGGGUACAGAAUUUUAACAGCAAUAAGAUCUGGAGUGUUACCAGAAAAUUUAAUAAACCUUGAAAUAGGACCUGUUUCUCAUUCCAGAUGGCUCACUACAGCCAACCGUUUUUGUAGACUGUGGGUUUCAAUUCAUUUUGUAACAGGAAAAAACUAUAGAAAUCUACGUUUAAUUAUUGAAUUUAUAUUUGGUGUGUAUUUUCCUUGCUGGUUUCAAAUAAAGGUAAAACAUUCCUGGUUAGAUGGACCUCGCCAUAUUUUAUUCCAAUUGAAACAACUAAGAUAUCAAAAAAAAAAGAGGUUAUUGAAAUAGUAAUGAAGACUAUAAUGAGAUCUGCAUGGUUUGCAUUUAGUGAAUGCAUUAUUCAGACUCUUUUGUGUUCUAAAGAUGAAGAGGAACGAAAGUUCAGAGUGCAAAAGGUGCUAGAGAUUAGAGGUGUAGGAGAUGAUAACACCCAGUUUGGAGAUAAUUCAGUAAGAAUUCGCAAAACCCCAUGCAUAAACACUGAUGCUGAUAAUUUGACCAAUCUAAUUGAGUGGAAAGAUUCAAUAUACGAACCACUACUUACCACAAGCCUCACAACCCAUGAAGUCAGAAAAUUUUUUCACAAGCCUAUGGUUGUUCCAGAAUGGCCAUGCCAUUCCCAAUCUGUCGAACGUUGUGUUAAACAGGUUACAGAGGCUUAUGCCAAAACAUAUUCCGACGAGAAGCGAGAAGGAUAUAUAUGAGCACAAGAAAUCAGUAGGGGUUUUAUGAGCAAAAACAAUGCUAAAUAUAACUUAGUUGGACUCACAAAUUUUAAAUAAAAUUUAUAAAUUAUUAAUUGUUAAUUAUAUUUAAAUUUUAAUAAAGCACAUUUA